rnacentral:rRNA from 1 species
CCUACGGGAGGCAGCAGUGGGGAAUAUUGCGCAAUGGGCGAAAGCCUGACGCAGCGACGCCGCGUGAGGGAUGAAGGUCUUCGGAUCGUAAACCUCUGUCAGCAGGGAAGAACGGUCACUGUGCUAAUCAGCAGUGAAUUGACGGUACCUGCAAAGGAAGCACCGGCUAACUCCGUGCCAGCAGCUGCGGUAAUACGGAGGGUGCGAGCGUUAAUCGGAAUUACUGGGCGUAAAGCGCUCGUAGGCGGUAUGUCAAGUCAAGGGUGAAAUCCCCGCGCUCAACGUGGGAACUGCCUUUGAAACUGGCAGACUGGAGUGUGUGAGAGGAUAGUGGAAUUCCAGGUGUAGGAGUGAAAUCCGUAGAUAUCUGGAGGAACAUCAGUGGCGAAGGCGACUAUCUGGCACAUAACUGACGCUGAGGAGCGAAAGCGUGGGUAGCAAACAGGAUUAGAUACCCUGGUAGUC